UACGGGGGGGGCAAGCGUUGUUCGGAAUUACUGGGCGUAAAGGGCUCGUAGGCGGCCCUCUCAGUCGGAUGUGAAAUCCCCAGGCUUAACCUGGAAAUGGCAUCCGAUACUGGAGGGCUUGAAUUCGGGAGAGGGAUGCAGAAUUCCAGGUGUAGCGGUGAAAUGCGUAGAUAUCUGGAGGAAUACCGGUGGCGAAGGCGGCAUCCUGGACCGAGAUUGACGCUGAGGAGCGAAAGCUAGGGGAGCAAACGGG
rnacentral:rRNA from 1 species